rnacentral:rRNA from 1 species
CCAAUAGCGUAUAUUAAAGUUGCUGCAGUUAAAAAGCUCGUAGUUGAAUUUCGGGACCGAUAUAUCGGUCGUGCCUCGGUACGUACUGGUAUUUUCGGUUUCUCCCUUCUGACGAACCUUGAUGUCAUUAAUUUGGUGUCUUGGGGAAUCAGGACUGUUACUUUGAAAAAAUUAGAGUGUUUAAAGCAGGCUCACGCUUGAAUACAUUAGCAUGGAAUAAUGAAAUAGGACGUUUGACUCUAUUUUGUUGGUUUCUAGGAUCGACGUAAUGAUUAAUAGGGAUAGUUGGGGGCAUUAGUAUUCAAUUGUCAGAGGUGAAAUUCUUGGAUUUAUUGAAGACUAACUACUGCGAAAGCAUUUGCCAAGGAUGUUUUCAUUAAUCAAGAACGAAAGUUAGGGGAUCGAAGACGAUCAGAUACCGUCGUAGUCUUAACCAUAAACUAUGCCGACUAGGGAUCGGAUGAUGUUAAUUUUUUAAUGACUCAUUCGGCGCCUUACG